CUUAGGUGGGGUGGGGGCAUGCACCGUUUGAGCACCACCGCCGGACUCUGCACCCAGCGAGGGACCCUCUCCUCCCUGCCUCUGACCACCACUGUGAAUUACAACUCCAAGCAGUGCUUCCCUGGCCACGCAGGAGGAGUUACAGGGGUUGAGGAAGCGUGGCCUAAGGAGAGGCAGAUGGGGGAAGGAUGUGUGCUCUGCCGUCUUCAAUACUGAGGGGCCUCGUGUGCAGAAGGACGUCGUUUCUUCAGUGUGACUUCAAUGGGCAGAAUUAGAAUAAAAAGGUAAAGUUUAUUAUGGAAGAAGGUAAAUCUCAGCUCAUCUCAACCACUUUCUCUAAGUUAGAGUUGAGUUGACCCCCGAUUCAAAGGUGCUGCUUCGGGAAGGCACAGUGCAUGUCCCUGUGCUGUCUAUGGCAAGAACUUGAUUCAAGGAGGAUGGAAGCCAGAGGCACCCAGCUCCUCCACCAUUCAGCCCGAGGCCCAGGAGCACCGUCCUUUCCCAGUGCUUCUACCUCUGGUCUUAUUCGCCUCUUGUGACACAGCUAUGAUGUGACGUCCUGCAUUUUACUGAUGUGGACGCUGAGGUCCAAAGACAAGCAGCCUCCCAGGGACACACGGAGCUGGAGUCCCCCGAGUCUCUGGGCUCCUGGCUGGGGUUCCUGCCGCCUGCCCUGCUGCCAGCACAAGCGUCCUCGUCGCUGUCUGGGGUGCACGCUGGGGCAUGUGCUUAGUUCGUACUUCCCAUUCAUGGAAGAGAUGAUGAGCCCCAGUAAGAAAAUAAUUUGAAAAUAAUUUACUGGUGGGUGCACGCUAAGUUCCCACAAGGAAACAGACAUGCAGUUCGGUGCUGAGAGCUCAGUGACCAUCCUGGGGACAAGUGGUGUGGGAGCGAUCACACUGCACACCAGGCCACCUGCCCCCCAGCUUCCCAGCUCACCCUCACGCCUGUCUUCCUCACCCCAGCCCACCCACACGGCCCCUUCACCAUGCACAGACCCUGGCAAAGCGCAGAGUGCCUUCACUCGAACUUUCUCAGGACUACAGCCUGCCCGGCCAGUCGGCCCUUCCUAGCCUGCUUGGAAGGUGAAGAAAGUGGUCUCCAUGUCACCCGCAUAAAAGGCGACGACUAUCUGCUCGGAUGUCAUAGGCUGACCUUCCCAAAACAAUCUCCCUCAGAACCAACCUAGGUGCUCAGUGUGAACUCUCACCCAUUAGAUUGACAGAGUGGUUCUCGACUGGGGUUGAUUUUUGCUGCCAUCUCUCCCCAGGGGACAGCAACGCCUGUAAACUCUUUGAGCUGUCACACUGGAUGUGAGGCACACCUACAGCCAUAGAAUCCUAGAAGCCAGGGGUGCCACCCAGAUCCCACAGCGCAAAGGACAUCUCCCCACAGCACAGAAUUGUUUGACCCAAAAUAUCGCUUUUCAUCAGUGGCCUUCUAAACUCUGCCUCUUAGGUGAUAGGCUGCUCCCACCUAGGACUGCGUGUUAAAAUGUGAAAACGGGCGGAAGCUUGGCAGCAUGCACAGCUUUAAUCAGGGAUUCCGUCUGGAAUACCUGCUGGGAGUCACUCUCUCCAGGUUAGUGGCCAUCGUGAUAAGCGAUUCUGGGGGAAGGAGGAGGAGGAGAAGUGGGAGGAGGUCUUGGUGCAGCAGGAGGCAUUUAAGAUGGGAUGGACUGAGGAGCCGCAGUCGCUGGAUUGGACCCAAGCCACCAAGCUGGACCACAAAUGAAGCCCUGGAUCCACACCUCCUCCUGGUCACAGUGACAGUUCCCACCUAGGACAUCUGACCUUCUAAAGGCCAAGGCAGUUCUUUACUAAGCAGACGAAUACUACUUUCUUCUCAAUUUCAUUUUCCUUCUCAGUUGGAGGAGAGGGUGCAGUUUGUAUUUCAUUGAAUUUUCUCCUUUUCUUGAAGGGAAGGAUAUGUUGCCAAAAAUACUCAUGAACUGCUUCCUUGUUUUUGUGAUGGAGAAAAUGAUUAUUUAUUUUACAAUUGCAUCUGCAUUAAGAUGGCAACAAGGGGCCGUGGGCUGAGGGGUUAGGGUCCUGUCCCCUCUCUGUGCGCUGGAGAGCUUACUGGGCAUCUUGCAGGUCUCCUGGACAGAGGCCCCAGGGCUCAGAAGCACACACACACAUCCUGUCUAGUUUGUGGGACCCUGCAGAGCCCAGGCUCCAAGGGCUGCUGAGAUGGCUCAGCACACGCGGGUCUGAGCAUCAAAGGCUUCUGUGCCUUGCGCCGCCCCCGA
rnacentral:lncRNA from 10 species